GCACCCGUGGCCUAGCGGUUAGCGCUUCCGUUUUGGAAAUGUUCAACGCGGGUUCGAACCCCAUUGUGGUCA